AGUCUUAUAGUCAUAAUUAUGACAUAAAAUUGCAAAUUUUAAGGAAUAUAUUAAUAUUAAGGCUU
rnacentral:tRNA from 1 species